rnacentral:rRNA from 1 species
UACGUAGGGUGCAAGCGUUAAUCGGAGUUACUGGGCGUAAAGCGUGCGCAGGCGGUUGUGCAAGACAGAUGUGAAAUCCCCGGGCUUAACCUGGGAACUGCAUUUGUGACUGGCGGACUCGAGUAUGGCAGAGGGGGGUAGAAUUCCACGUGUGAGCAGUGAAAUGCGUAGAGAUGUGGAGGAAUACCGAUGGCGAAGGCAGCCCCCUGGGCCAACACUGACGC